GAUGAACGCUGGCGGCGUGCUUAACACAUGCAAGUCGAACGAUUAAGACCCCUUCGGGGGUGUAUAGAGUGGCGAACGGGUGAGUAACACGUGGGCAACCUGCCCCUCACUUCGGGAUAACUCAGGGAAACCUGUGCUAAUACCGGAUACUCCGGGACGGUCGCAUGGCCGGCCACGAAAUGUUCCGGCGCUCCAGGAUGGGCCCGCGUCCCAUUAGCUUGUUGGUAGGGUAACGGCCUACCAAGGCGACGAUGGGUAGCCGGCCUGAGAGGGUGAACGGCCACACUGGGACUGAGAUACGGCCCAGACUCCUACGGGAGGCAGCAGUGGGGAAUAUUGCGCAAUGGGCGAAAGCCUGACGCAGCAACGCCGCGUGGAGGAUGAAGGUUUUCGGAUUGUAAACUCCUUUCAGCAGGGACGAAGGUGACGGUACCUACAGAAGAAGCCCCGGCUAACUACGUGCCAGCAGCCGCGGUAAUACGUAGGGGGCAAGCGUUGUCCGGAAUUAUUGGGCGUAAAGCGCGCGCAGGCGGCCCACCAAGUCAGAUGUGAAAUCCCUCGGCUCAACCGAGGACCUGCAUUUGAAACUGGUAGGCUAGAGUACAGGAGAGGGAAGUGGAAUUCCUAAUGUAGCGGUGAAAUGCGCAGAUAUUAGGAAGAACACCGGUGGCGAAGGCGGCUUCCUGGACUGUUACUGACGCUGAGGUGCGAAAGCUAGGGGAGCAAACAGGAUUAGAUACCCUGGUAGUCCUAGCCGUAAACGAUGGUCACUAGGUGUAGGGGGUUAUCAACUCCCCCUGUGCCGAAGCUAACGCAUUAAGUGACCCGCCUGGGGAGUACGGCCGCAAGGCUAAAACUCAAAGGAAUUGACGGGGGCCCGCACAAGCGGCGGAGCAUGUGGCUUAAUUCGACGCAACGCGAAGAACCUUACCUGGACUUGACAUAUAGGCGAAAGCUAUGGAAACAUGGUGUCCGCAAGGGCCCUGCACAGGUGGUGCAUGGUUGUCGUCAGCUCGUGUCGUGAGAUGUUGGGUUAAGUCCCGCAACGAGCGCAACCCCUAUCCUAUGUUGCCAGCAUUCAGUUGGGGACUCAUGGGAGACUGCCGGUGUCAAACCGGAGGAAGGUGGGGACGACGUCAAAUCAUCAUGCCCCUUAUGUCCAGGGCUGCACACGUGCUACAAUGGCCGGUACAAUGGGCUGCGAUGCCGCGAGGCGGAGCGAAUCCCACAAAACCGGGCCCAGUUCGGAUCGAAGGCUGCAACUCGCCUUCAUGAAGUCGGAGUUGCUAGUAAUCGCGGAUCAGCAUGCCGCGGUGAAUGCGUUCCCGGGCCUUGUACACACCGCCCGUCACACCACCCGAGUUGUUUGCACCCGAAGUCACUGGCCCAACCCGUAAGGGAGGGAGGUGCCGAAGGUGUGAAGAGUAAGGGGGGUG
rnacentral:rRNA from 1 species